GACGAACGCUGGCGGCGUGCUUAACACAUGCAAGUCGAACGGAAAGGCCCUGCUUGCAGGGUGCUCGAGUGGCGAACGGGUGAGUAACACGUGGGUGAUCUGCCCCUUACUUUGGGAUAAGCCUGGGAAACUGGGUCUAAUACUGGAUAGGACCAUGCUGUAGGUGGUGUGGUGGAAAGAUUAGUUUCGGUAAGGGAUGAGCUCGCGGCCUAUCAGCUUGUUGGUGGGGGAAUGGCCUACCAAGGCGUCGACGGGUAGCCGGCCUGAGAGGGUGGACGGCCACAUUGGGACUGGGAUACGGCCCAGACUCCUACGGGAGGCAGCAGUGGGGAAUAUUGCACAAUGGGCGCAAGCCUGAUGCAGCGACGCCGCGUGGGGGAUGACGGCCUUCGGGUUGUAAACUCCUUUCAGCCAUGACGAAGCCCUUGUGGUGACGGUAGUGGUAGAAGAAGCACCGGCUAACUACGUG
rnacentral:rRNA from 1 species